CCACCAUGACCUCCUACCCGUGUGCUGUUGAAUGCUCAGGCAGGUGCCGUGGCCUCGUUCGCGUGGGCCUCCCCGCCUGCGACGGUGGCGCCAGCGCUGUACGGCCUCAGGUACAACCGUUAUGUAAGUCCCCUCUGUCCCCUUGCUCCAGGGUAGCCUUCGAGUUAUCGCUGCUCAGUUCCUGCCAUGCUGUGAUUUUGGCGAUGAUAAUCUGCAGCUAUUAUUUUGUGGAUGAUAAACUAUUAUGUUUCAUAAAAGCUCACUAGGUUUUUCCUGCUGAAUGGAUUUUUUUGUUUCACCGCUUGAUUGCUUUUCCAUUGUCUGUGUGGCUCUUCAGAGUGCACAAUGUUUCUAAGGCGGUAAGGUGAGACGAGAUGCACUAGUUCUGUCUCACCUUUUAAUAAGUACUUAAAGCGUGAGGCGAGGCGAGACACACUAGUUCUGCCUCACGUUUUAAGUGCUUAAAGUGUGAGGCGAGAUGAUGCCUUAGGCAGUUUUGAACUUCUAUGGGCGGCAGAGUAGAGUAGCAUCUACAGCCUGUUUGGUUGGGGGGGAUUUAGCGGUAAGGAAUGGGAAUUUAAGGGGUACACGACAUAUAGUCCAUAGUUUGUUUGGGGGGCUAGGGAGUUGAGGAGGGAAGGGGAAAGAAAAUUAAGGAGGCCAAUUCCCACACAUCUCUUCCCUACCCUCCCCCUGUUAAUUCACGUGGAAUGUUACUUCCUCUCAAAUUCCCUCCACUAAUUCCCACCAUACACCAAACAUGGGAUUGGGACUUAAAAUCAACUUCCCAUGCCUAAUCCCCUAAUAAACCCCCACAUGUAAAUUCUCAUCUCUUCCCUACCCUCCCCCUGUUGAUUCACGUGGGAUGUUACUUCCUCUCAAAUUCCCUUCAUUAAUUCCCACCACACACCAAACAUGGGAUUGUGACUCAAAUCAACUUCCCAUGCGUAAUCCCCUACUAAACCCCCAAUGUAAAUUCCCAUCCCCUUUCUCCAUUGUAGCCAAACACGCUAGACAUACACAGUUACACCUUGAAAUCACAGCAUAGCAUGAGAAAUCACAGCAUAAACCGGGGAGCAGUACAACAUUCAUAGCAGAGCAUAUGCAUAGCAUGAGAAAUCACAUCAUAGCACUACAAAUUAGAGCACACAACUACAAAAAUCAUUCACAAAUCAAGGCAGAGCACUAUGAAUUCCUAAAUCAUCAGCCGCUUAGACGUCAUUGUCAUAUUGAUGGACUUUCUAUCUUCUUGGUUCGUGUCGUCAACAUCAGGGCCUCCAAAAAUGUCUAAGCUUAAUAAUGAGUGGAGAUGUCCUGAAAAAAAAAAGGCCCAACUUCUUAGCAUUUGACAUUAGCUUCAAGUUAUUUGGUACUAAAGAGUUUCAAACAUAAAUAGAAUAAAGUACAUCAAUGGCCAUCAUAGACUUGAUAUAUAAAAUUCUUAUGCUAUUCCAUAUAUGAAUGCAUGACGAACAUUUCAUGUUUUAAAAUUAAAAGUCUGAAUCUGUUCCUGGUAACUAGAAUAAACGGAAAAUCUAGGGUACUGAUUUGGAUACUUUGUCCACCUUGGUGCUUAUUUCAGUGUACAGUUGGGCAUUUUGGAGCAAGAGAGAAUACCUUCUAUCACCUUGUCUAGGACCGCGCAGGUUUAGAGGAAUAAACCGAUUUAGAACAUUGUGCCCUUGUUCCUUAAUAGUUGGAAAUUUUGCUCGCCAUUCUGGGCAGGUCUGUAGCAUGUGCAUCCCGAGUAUCAAAGGUCUGAUCAUAACCAUUCUUCUGGUAAACAUUCUGCUUUCUAUAAUCCUUUCACUUCGAAUUUUCAGGGUAGUUCCUCCAUGACAGAAAUUCUGCAAGUAGGAGAUGCAAAGAUAUUAUAAAGUGAAUAAUAGAGAGAGCAUUUAAACUAGACAAUCUUACUUUCUUUUACAAACCUUGAUCUUAUCUUUAGAAGGGUAACUAAAUGUAUGGUCCCUCUGAACAGUCCAUCUAAUCAUUUUAUGAAAGAGCCCCUCACGUGGUGAGGUAUUUAUGAUGCUAAACUGAGGUCUUUUCGCCAAGCUGUUUUGGAGCACUUUAUCUUUCAGAAUCUCCAGUAUAGAUCUUUCCGGAUGAACAAUCUGCAAUUCAAAGUUGUGAAAAGAUCACAAUAUGGAUAUGCAAAAGAUUAAUUCUUGAGUGCUGUUUAACUUUUUACACACCUUGUUAUUAUAUCCGAUUGUGCUCAUCUUUCUUUUGCCAUGCGAGCUUGAAGAACUAACUUCUGCUUUAUUUGAAAACCACCCAUCUCCUUGACUGAGUUUCUGUGCAGAAGCAGGGGGCUUCUCAACAAAUAAACUUUGAACCUUCCCGUUGACAUUGAACAAAUGAAACAAAUCAUCAUCCAUGGGUAUAAAAGAAUCCUCAGGAGGAGGUGCACCUUUUCCGUGCUUCUCCUUGCAAUGUAUGCCUUUUCUAGCAAAUGACUCAUUAGAUGCACUCCAGACAUCCUGCUCUUCUGCUGGUUCAUGACUGAACAUAUCAUCCUUGUAAGCAUCUAUUUGUAGAAUCCUAACCAAUUCGAGAACUUUUUCAAUAGAAUCCACGCCUGGAAAAGCAAUGCCCUCGUCUAGCUCUGGGAGCUCCAAUCCUUCGCGGAGACAGUCCAUAUACUUCAUUGCAUAUGCGCUCAGAUCACUCCAGUUGUGAACGAGAUCAUUCAUCCAUGGAAUAAAAUAGUCAAGCCGGAUAGAAUCUUUGCUGUGGAUGUUCAUAUACAGUGCUUUGAAGAUUAUCUCAAACCUUGGAGCUUCAGCCAUAUAAGCAACAAAAAGACCUACAAACUUGGGGUCUAUGCGCCCCCCGCCAUUAAUUAUGGAGGUAAAAGCUCUUCUUAGGUAGCCGAAACCUGUAAGCAACCCUCCAGGGUCACCGUUGCAUAUAGCACGGUGGUUACCUCUAAAGGACAACACCGUAUGGUCUGAGCAUUUGACAUAGUUCUUGUGGCCAGCCUCUGGUUUUAGCUCGUACACCUUACCACCGAUGCAGUAGGCUUUAACCCACCAGUAUCUACCUUGCUUAAUAAAAGUGAUUUUAUCUUCUUCAUACUUAACAACUGUGCAACAUAUGCCUUUUUCUGGUGUAGUGAAGACGUGUUUUUUUCUGCCGAAAAUUCGAGUCACAUCAACUCGGAUGCCAUUCUUAUAAUUCCACCAUCUUGCAGAUCGGACAUACUUCUUGAAGUUAGCUUGCACCACUUCAGGGGGCCCACUGAUAUCCCAGAUUAGCACAUCCUAAUGUAUGAAACAGGAAUUAAAAAGAAAAUCAUAUAUGCUGCUGUUUUUUUUGUUUGAGUAAUCAUAUAUGUUGUUGUUACUGUCAAAGAGAUCUUCAUUACAUGAAACAACUGCACUUAACUGUUAGUAUAAUCAGUAUGCUUUACAUUUAUUUGAUAUAGCACCCAAAUUAUUCUAGAAAACUACAAUUACUGGUGGAUUAAGGGUUCACAUCAAGCUAUUGUGGAAUAAACUAUUCCCUCUGAUCCAUAUUAGCUAUCGCUCAAACGAAUGUAUCUAGCACUAAAAUACGUCUAGAUACAUCUGUUUGAGCGACAAGUAAUAUGGAUCGGUGGGAGUAUCAUCCUCUGGCUUAACCAUUGCUGCUGCUUUACUUGAAGUUACUUCCAAGACUAGCACCAAGCUAAUGGUCUAUUAUUUUUGUGCCAAAAUAUUCUCUUGAAUUAUUUGGUAUUCAUGUGGCCAUAGUACACAGGCCAACUAAAUACUGAUAAAAAAAUUUGAUUGAUAAUUUUUCAUGCACGGAUGAAAAGACGGAACUUGGAAUCACUAAACAGUUCUGUUGUGCAGUACCUGGAAAUUUGAGAGAUCAUAAGGUCGAGGGACAUGGAUUGAGAAAUUAUCAUCCAACCAUGCAGUUUUGGUUGUGUAUUAAAUUAUUGUAACUUAUAUUUUUCUUUGUAUUUGUCUCUUUUUGACAAUAAAAAUGGAUGUGGUAAUAAUCAUAUGGAUGAGUGUUUUUUGACAGCACCAUAUGGAUGUGUAUGCUAUAAUGCCCGACCUUCGUUUUAGUGUGUUACAACCCAUUCCUCUUAGAGAUGACAUAAUGUAGAAAGACAACUAAUUAUGUGCAUGAAGUCCUAUACAAUUUGAUUUUCUAUGCCAUGUUAGCAUUUGCUUAAUCAUGAACAAUCUUAGUGCAUAUGUUUCCUUUCAGGCGAGAUUCCAACUAACCUUUACAUUUUGCACAUGCUUUUCAAUAUUAGGUAACCUUUACGAUUCUACAAUAUCUGAUAUGUUUUGGAGUAGUUAGUUUAGAAACAAGUGGUAGUUUGGCUUUUACUUCUGUUAAUAAUCAUUUUUUGGUCUGUGCUGAAGACUCCUUAUUAUUUCCUUGUAUAUCUGAAAGGUUUUCCUUCUGAUUAUGUUUGCUGUAUACAACAGAUUGUUCAAAGUUGUAAUGUGUCUGUUAAGAGUUAAUGACCAGUUCAGUCCUUUUUUAAAAACUAAGAAAAGCUUAAGACAAGGGGGCCCCCUGUCCCCCAUUUUAUUCAACAUUGCUAUUGAUUUCUUGCAAGAACUUCUGGAGCUAUUUCUCAAGGAGAGAUUAAAGGGGCAGUGCCUAAUUCAGUAGAAGGUCUAGCGAUGAUUUAAUUGAUGCUGGAGAAAGAAAUGCUGGAAGGACUGUUGUAGUGGCAGUAUUUGUAUUUGUAAGAAAUUUAUUGUAAUAGGCAUGCUAAAGAUUUGGAUGGAAUGUGCGACUCGAUCGGUACUAUUUUUUCUACAGCUUCCUGGAAGUUCAUUUGGCCUAUCUGAUCUUCAGCUCUAUUUGUAAGAAAUUUUUUGUAACACCCAUGGAAAUGUUAAAGAUGUUGAUCCAGUUGAGUUUUUUUUU
rnacentral:lncRNA from 1 species